rnacentral:rRNA from 1 species
UACGUAGGGGGGCAAGCGUUGUCCGGAAUCAUUGGGCGUAAAGCGCGUGUAGGCGGCCCCGGUAAGUCCGCUGUGAAAGUCGGGGGGCUCAACCCUCGAAUGCCGGUGGAUACUGUCGGGCUAGAGUGCGGAAGAGGCGAGUGGAAUUCCUGGUGUAGCGGUGAAAUGCGUAGAGAUCGGGAGGAACAUCAGUUGCGAAGGCGGCUCUCUGGACCAGCACUGACACUGAGGCACGAAAGCGUGGGGAGCAAACAGG